rnacentral:lncRNA from 1 species
UGGUGAUACUCAAUUGAUGAAUGGGCUUCCACAGAAUAGUUUACCUGGUAACCUUAUUGAAUGUGGCUCAGUGGUUUCAGAGUCCCACUAGAGUAGCUAAUAUUGGAGUAAACUCUUUCGUAAUUGUAAUCGGUGGGUGUCACGGAGUAGGCUGAUACCUAUGGAGUGUACAGACGUUAAAUGGGGGUAAGACUGAACUGUGUAUAUACACUCACUAUACCAAACAUUGGGAACACCUUCCUAACAUUGAGUUGAAUCCCCCCUUUAACAGCAUCCAUUCAUCAGGACAUGGACUCUACAAGGUGUUGAAAGCGUUCCACAGGGAUGCUGGCUCAUGUUGACUCCAAUGCUUCCCACAGUUGUGUCAAGUUGGCUGGAUGUCCUUUGGGUGGUGGAACAUUCUGGAUACACACAGGAAACUGAGUGUGAAAAACCCAGCAGCGUUGCAGUUCUUGACACAAACUGGUGCGCCUGGCUCCUACUACCAUACCCCGUUCAACAGCACUUACAUCUUGUGUCUUCCCCAUUCACCCUCUGAAUGGCACACAUACACAAUCCAUGUCUCAAGGCUUAAAAAUCCUUCUUUAACCUGUCUCCUCCCCUUCAGCUACACUGAUUGAAGUGGAUUUAACAAGUGACAUCAAUAAGGGAUCAUAGCUUUCACCUGGUCAGUCUGUCAUGGAAAGAGGUGUUCUUAAAUGUGGAGUAUGCCCCCUACGCAAUUAUACAGUAACACAUCCACAGUGGGAUUUGGACUUUUAAUUUUAUUUAACUAGGCAAGUCCAUUAAGAACAAAUUCUUAUUUACAAUGACAGCCUACCCCAGCCAAACAUCACGAUGGGGGUAUUGUGUGUAGAUUGAUGAGGAAAAUAUCAGUUUUAGAAUAUGGCUUUUAACGUAAGAAAAUGUGGAAAAAGGGGUCCGAAUGCACUGUAUGUAGCAAUUAGCCCGGGGGAAAAAGGCUGCGCUAGGCCCGGGGGGAUAAAGGCUGCGCUAGGCCCGGGGGGAUAAAGGCUGCGCUAGGCCCGGGGGGAUAAAGGCUGCGCUAGGCCCGGGGGGAUAAAGGCUGCGCUAGGCCCGGGG